GACGAACGCUGGCGGCGUGCCUAAUACAUGCAAGUAGAACGCUGAAGGAGGAGCUUGCUCUUCUGGAUGAGUUGCGAACGGGUGAGUAACGCGUAGGUAACCUGCCUGGUAGCGGGGGAUAACUAUUGGAAACGAUAGCUAAUACCGCAUAACAGUAGAUGUUGCAUGACAUUUGCUUAAAAGGUGCAAUUGCAUCACUACCAGAUGGACCUGCGUUGUAUUAGCUAGUUGGUGGGGUAACGGCUCACCAAGGCGAGGAUACAUAGCCGCACUGCGAGGGGGGGCAGCCACACUGAGAGUGAGACACGGCACAGACGCCUACGGGAGGCAGCAGUAGGGAAUCUUCGGCAAGGGACGGAAGUCUGACCGAGAAACGCCGAGGGAGGGAAGAAGGUCUUCGGAUCGGAAAGCUCGGUUGUAAGAGAAGAACGAGUGUGAGAGUGGAAAGUUCACACUGUGACGGUAUCUUAUAAGAAAGGGACGGCUAACUACGUG
rnacentral:rRNA from 1 species